AAAGAAGUCCGGUCGUGUUAUACUAUAUAUAGGGACAGCUCACUUGCGAUUUCAUAAGGACGUAAGUUUACAACAGUCGAAGAUGAACUCCUUCCUUCUGAUGUGUGUAUUCCUGACGCUGAGUCUGCUUCUUAUAACCACAGUAGCCGCUUCCACCACUCCAGGAGGGAACACCGCAGCUGCGUUGUCAAUGGAUGUCGCCACAUGUCUGGUAGCUGCUGUGCUUACCCUGUGGAGAACUCUCAUGUAGAAGCCAUCUCGUCAUGAGAGAUCAAUCCGAUUGAUGUACCUGUAUUACACGGGCCUAUAAAACAGACAAACAUUGAUAGCAUGGUACUGAAAAAUAAAUUGAAUUUAAAUAAUUACAAUAUCUAGGACGGUUGAAGCCUAAUUUUAAGGCGAUGAUGCCGAAUGCGAAAUAUGAAAAAGUACUCGUAUUCUUUAUGACGAGAAUUAUAACUAAGAUAAAGCAUUCACAUAUUACAUACCUGUUACUGUUUGAGUUUUGCUUUUAAUAUUUUUGCUGCUAAUGUAGUUGUUUAGUUCCUUUUCAAACUCAGAUUACUCAAUACGACGAUUUUCUUAUGUGCCUAUACUCGUCUGAAUAUGUCGACUUAAAAAACAGUUUCAGUAAGAAAAAUAUACAAUGAACAAGGUAUAUUAAGACUUAACAAUGCAAUGAACACUCAAGAUGACAUUUCGAUCGAACAUGCAUGACAUGCCAUUGUGUUAAAGCCUUAGUCAAGCUCAGAAAAUGAUUCUUUCUUUUGUAUUAACGUUCUAUGUACAUUUUACUGUAAAUAUAACACGUGUUUACCAGCGGAAAAACUAUUAACGUACAAAUGCGUACAUAUUGCUCAUUUCAGUUUCGAAACAUAUGGUAAAAUAUCAGAAAAUACAGUACGUUCGAAAGGUUUUUGUUUUUGUUGUUUUUAUUGCAAAAUGGUCGGGCCCAUUUAUACUGAAUAAAAUAUCAUUAUUGCCUUAGCGUAGUACCUUGGAAGAUUGCGCGCUUGGGUACGAUUUAUAUGAUGCUUUAAAUAUUUUCUUGAAAUAAUCGGUUGGUGUCGUAAUUGUUUGAAUGAAGGCUUGAAUGAAAUUUUUAAGAAUAUUGAAAGUUGAAGAUUCAUUAUUAUUUAUAUAAGUAUCAAAAAGAAAUAUCGGCUUCUGAAUCGCCUAUUAAAGACGCCAAUUACGACAAACAGUUUAAUUAUGUGUGUUUCCUCGAAAACUCAAUAGACCUUAUGUAAACGAAAAAGCAAAGCAGCGUCCAGAGAUCUUGAUGUUGGAGACAUUUCCUUCUGUUAUAUUAAACCAACGAACCAACCAACUUUGUACCAUAACACUUAAUUAAACAAACGUGUGACCUAAAGAGACCUUGUGUUACCAGCGUCGAAUUUACGUAACUCGAUAAUUAAAGUUUAAAACAAAAUAUAUAAUUAAGAUAAAAAAAGUGUAUUAUCCGUUAUAAGCUCUGUUUCCAAAUAGACGUGAUUGUUUACAUCAUAUCAAAGUUGUAUGCCGAUUAGAUUGACGUUGUUUGCGUUAAACAAACAAAAAAUAUUUCAACAAACAUUUAUUCUUAAACGGAAAGUUUCCCUUCUUGAACCAGAGUACAUGUUAAAAUUUACUCAAUACACUACCACAAAGGGUAAGUUAGCAGCUGACGCCCUAUAGGCUAGGGAUAUCAACGAACCUAGCAGCAGUAGAAACUUCUAUUGAAUGGCAUCCAUGAUAAGAUAUCGGUGUUUGGCUUUACUUGUCACAAGUGAGUACCUUGGACGAUUAUUAACAUUCACUAUAUAAAGGAACUGUGUAGUGGUUCUUGUGUCUCAAAUAUCAGGGUGUGAUUUAUUUGAUACUGUUGUUCGCUGGAGCCAAUUUGUCAAGAUUAACAGUCAUGCCGACUGAGUGUACCCUUAACCUAACAUGCCAUCGUUAUCGACGGUGUUUUGUCCACCGUUAUCCACGUGAAAUAAAUCAAAGAUAAAAACAAGAUUGCGGCAUAUUGUAUAUAAAGAGUCAUUGAACCGCAGACCGCAGAUUCAGAUCUUCAGCCAUUAAAGGUAAGAUUUUUAAAGUCAUUUUGUACACAGGCAGCAAUAUACUUACUUUUAGACGAAGAAUACUAUGAUCUUGACUAAAUGAAACUGCACCGCGAAUUGAAAUAAGUUAACAUUAUGUGUGUCUUGUUCUGAGAAAACUGGGCAUAAUGCAUGUGCGUAAAGUGUCGUCCCAGAUUAGCCUGUGCAGUCCGCACAGGAUAAUCAGAGACGCCUCUUUCCGCUUAAACUAGAUUUUCGGUCAAAAGGGACUUCUUUUAAACGAAAAAUACCAUUUAAGCGAUGAUGAUACAAGAUAGGAAAGUUCGACCGCGGUUUAUUAUUUCUGAUAAACAUAUACAUUCAUAUUAAUUAUUCAACCACAUUUCAAAACAUAAGUCUAUGGCAAUUAAUUGGGAUAGAAAUCUACAUUGAAUGUGUUUUCAAAUUAUUAACUGAUUUGCCAUAAACCCCAAUUUGAACUUUGCAGAUGAAGCUGUACAUUUUGCUUGUUGUCCUUCUGACUCUAAGUCUGCAGUUGAGCGAUUCCGACGCAGCUACAAGUGCCCCUAGCGGUGGCAGUGGCGGUGGCAGUGGCGGUGGCGGCGGCAGUGGCGGAAAUGGCGGAAACUCCGUUUCUGCAUCGACAGUGUCUUACCUUGCAUGUCUCCUGACGGCCAUGCUAACUACGGGGAAAUUAUACGUGUAAAUUCUGGAACUUAUGAGAGCGAUCAAAAUACUCAAUGUGGUUUGCAUAAACUGCUAAUAUAUGAGUAAUUUGUUCUAUACAUGUAACCUAGCUCUCGUUGUGUAAAAACAAAGCGUCAUUUAAAGCAAAAUCUGCCAAAAAAUGAAGGCUGAAACCGGAUAUGCGGUGAUGAUGCCAGAGUACUGCAGAAAAAAUGUACGAGUUUUUAUAAAGAUUAAAGGGUUGUUGUAUCAUUAAAUUGUGUAAUAGUAUGACGAAUAAAAAUACGCAUCAUUCAUUUAUGUUCAUGAUCUCUGGUAUAAAACAGGUAUGCACAUAUAAGUUGACUCAUAAUUACACAAGCAACUGUUAUACGUUUUUGCAACAUGUGCAGAUCUUUCGGACUGGUGGAAACUAUGUGCCUGUUAUAAUGUAUAGUACAAGUCAUAUUGCUAUUUCGAUCAGUUACUUCGUCCGGUUCAAUCGGUCGCUAUGAUAUAUCUACACGAGAACAAUCCGACACGCAGGUGAUGUCAUAAUUAAUUUUAUUUUAUCGAUUUCAAAACUAAGUUAAAUGUUCCAAUGUCAUCGAACGCCACCUUGAAUAUGUUAUAUGAAACUGUACAUGUCUUGGUCAAUUUAAAAUGAAGGAAGCAGAAGCCAAAAGUGAAAAGCCUAUCGCAUUAUUUUGGCCAUGCGUAGGACAACGCUGUAUGGCCAAAUACUGAUGAUGUGGCAGUGACUAUUGUAAUUACUUUGUUGAUGUUUUUCAAUAAUCCUUUUAUGAAACGAUUUUUGUGAAGCGUUCUCCAUUAUGAUUGAAAAUAGAAACAAUCAUAUCAUU